rnacentral:rRNA from 1 species
CGUCUAUAUACGUAUAGCAUAUCAAUAAGCGGAGGAAAAGAAACUAACAUAGGAUUCCCUCAGUAACGGCGAGUGAAGCGGGAAGAGCUCAAAUUUGAAAUCUUCAAGGGUUUACCUUUACGAAUUGUAGUUUAAAGAAGUGUUUUCUGUUGGAUGUUUUGGUAAAAGUUCUUUGGAAUAGGACAUCAUAGAGGGUGAGAAUCCCGUAUUUGGUCAUUACUUCCUAGCUUUGUGAUACACUUUCAAAGAGUCGGAUUGUUUGGGAAUGCAGUCCAAAAUGGGUGGUAAAUUUCAUCUAAAGCUAAAUAUUGGCGAGAGACCGAUAGCGAACAAGUACCGUGAGGGAAAGAUGAAAAGAACUUUGAAAAGAGAGUUAAACAGUACGUGAAAUUGUCAAAAGGGAAGCGUCUGACACCAGUGUUGUUUUUCCGAAAAUCAAUUACGAAUGUUUUAUUUUUGAGGAGUUAUGACUUCAUCGGCUUGCUCCUUUCUUUACGAACUUUCUUAAUGCACUUUUCGGUUAACAAGUCAACAUCAAUUUCUUUUGUUGUAAAAGAGUAUGAGGAAGGUGGCUUUCUUUUCGGAGAAAGUGUUUAUAGCCUUUGUACUUCUGCAAUCGGAGAGAUUGAGGUCUGCAGCAUAGAUCCUUCGGGGUUAGAUACAUUUGUGCUAAGUUAUAGCCUUUCAUAGACAACUUGUUGACUAUGAUCAGUCAUGUAGCUUACUCGCUUAGUGCUAUUUUACCUACGCUUAGGAUGUUGACACACGCGCGUGCUCG